rnacentral:misc_RNA from 1 species
AAGUAGGAGAAUCCCUUGGUUACACAACCAUUGAAACAAAUUCUUUAGUUUCAUUGUGGAGUAUAUGGAAUUUUCUUGGCCGUUUUGGAGCUGGGUUUGUGUCAGAUAUUUUCUUGCACAGAGGUGGCUGGGCAAGGCCUUUAUUCAUGGUUAUCACUUUAUCAACUUUGGCCAUCGGCCAUAUGGUUAUUGCCUCAGGUUUUACUAAAUGUUUGUACCUGGGUUCAUUCCUUGUGGGGGUUUCUUAUGGUUCACAAUGGUCAUUGAUGCCUACAAUCUGUUCUGAAAUAUUUGGUGUGGGACACAUGGGUACUAUAUUCAACACCAUUGCCAUAGCAAGUCCUCUUGGAUCAUAUAUUUUCUCUGUAAGAGUAAUUGGGUACAUUUAUGAUAAGGCAGCAACAGGUGAAGAUAACACAUGCUUUGGAACUCACUGCUUCUUGCUUUCUUUUCUGAUCAUGGCAUUUGUUGCUUCCUUCGGGGUUCUUGUUGCUCUUGCAUUGUUCUUUAGGACAAGGAGGUUCUAUCAGGUGGUUGUGCUUAGACGGGUACAACAUUCUUAGAGAACAUGAUGCGGGAGAGUUUGUAUUAAUUCAGGGAGAAUGUGCUCCGCUUUUAUUGGCUGGCUGGUUUGUAUUUCACUAUUAUUUAUUAUUUUCUUAUAAUAUUAUGUGCUAUUAGAUCAAUAAAAAAA